CUUUCUUUCCCCUCCCAUUUGAAAUAAGUUUCUUGCUAUUUGCAGGAUGAAGUUUGAAAGACUUUAAUCAUACAAUGAAACAGAAAGUGUCAUAAGCCAGAAGGCAAAAAAUCUCAACUCUCACAAACUGAUGCUGAAAGUUACUUUGAGUGGUUGAGGUAUUGGAAACUUGACUGAAGACUACGUAUCAUGCACUGGAGAAGGAUAUUUGGUUGCAGUGUAUGGAGGCACUAGAGAAUUUCCUAAAGUGGAAAACAUGACCAGAGCUGCCUGGGCUGUGCGGGAUGCUGUGCCCAGGAGCUCCCAGGCGCUGCGGCUGUGCGACGUGACGGGUGCCGGAGCUUUGUGCACCAGGACUGAAGGAGCAGAAGUUUGGAAUCACAGUGGAGCUCGUGUCAUUUCCAGUUUGUGGACAUACCUGAUGUGUAAUUAA
rnacentral:lncRNA from 1 species